UUUAAGUAUAAAUAUUUAAUAAAAUUAGUAUUAGUUAUGUUCUUGAAAUUUAAAGAUUUUGGCGGUAUUUUAGUCUUUUCAGAGGAACCUGUUCUGUAAUCGAUAGUCCACGAUUAAUAUUACUUAUUUUAAUUAAUUUGUAUAUCGUCGUAGUUGAAUAUUUCAUUAGGAUUUAAAUAUUCAAGAUUUAAAAUAAUAAAUUAAAUCAGAUCAAGGUGCAAUUUAUAAAUAAGAAGAGAUGGGUUACAAUAAAAGUAUUUAUACGAAUAAAUUAAUGAAAAAGAUUUUGAAGGUGGAUUUGAAAGUAAUAAAAUUGAUUUAGAUUUUAUGAUUUUGGCUCUAAAAUAUGU
rnacentral:rRNA from 1 species